AAAAAGAUAAGCUAAACAAGCUAAUGGGUUCAUACCCCGUAUAUAAAGGUUUAAACCCUUUUCUUUUUA
rnacentral:tRNA from 3 species